GGUUAAGUGACUAAGCGUACACGGUGGAUGCCUAGGCAGUCAGAGGCGAUGAAGGGCGUGCUAAUCUGCGAAAAGCAGCCGUAAGGUGAUAUGAACCGUUAUAGCCGGCGAUACCCGAAUGGGGAAACCCAGUGUGAUACGUCACACUAUCGUUAAGUGAAUACAUAGCUUGACGAAGCGAACCGGGGGAACUGAAACAUCUAAGUACCCCGAGGAAAAGAAAUCAACCGAGAUCCCCCCAGUAGCGGCGAGCGAACGGGGGCCAGCCCAGAACCUGAAUCAGCGGGUGUGUUAGUGGAAGCGUCUGGAAAGUCGCGCAGUAAAGGGUGAUAGCCCCGUACACAAAAAUGCACUGGCUGUGAGUUCGAUGAGUAGGGCGGGACACGUGACAUCCUGUCUGAAUAUGGGGGGACCAUCCUCCAAGGCUAAAUACUCCUGACUGACCGAUAGUGAACCAGUACCGUGAGGGAAAGGCGAAAAGAACCCCGGCGAGGGGAGUGAAAAAGAACCUGAAACCGUGUACGUACAAGCAGUGGGAGCACCGUUGAGGUGUGACUGCGUACCUUUUGUAUAAUGGGUCAGCGACUUAUAUUUUGUAGCAAGGUUAACCGCAUAGGGGAGCCGUAGGGAAACCGAGUCUUAACUGGGCGAAGAGUUGCAAGGUAUAGACCCGAAACCCGGUGAUCUAGCCAUGGGCAGGUUGAAGGUUGGGUAACACCACCUGGAGGACCGAACCGACUAAUGUUGAAAAUUAGCGGAUGACCUGUGGCUGGGGGUGAAAGGCCAAUCAAACCGGGAGAUAGCUGGUUCUCCCCGAAAGCUAUUUAGGUAGCGCCUCGUGAAUUCAUCUUCGGGGGUAGAGCACUGUUUCGGCUAGGGGGCCAUCCCGGCUUACCAACCCGAUGCAAACUGCGAAUACCGAAGCAUGUUAUCACGGGAGACACACGGCGGGUGCUAACGUCCGUCGUGAAGAGGGAAACAACCCAGACCGCCAGCUAAGGUCCCAAAGUCAUGGUUAAGUGGGAAACGAUGUGGGAAGGCCCAGACAGCCAGGAUGUUGGCUUAGAAGCAGCCAUCAUUGAAAGAAAGCGUAAUAGCUCACUGGUCGAGUCGGCCUGCGCGGAAGAUGUAACGGGGCUAAACCAUGCACCGAAGCUGCGGCA
rnacentral:ncRNA from 1 species